rnacentral:rRNA from 1 species
CCCGGNGGAUAUAGUUUAAACGGUUGCUGUUGAUAGCAGUACGAAGGUAGCGCAGUAAAUCGUCCUUUGAUUGGGGAAUAGUAUGAAUGGUUUGACGUGAGAAGGCCUGUCUCGGUCUCACAGGUUGAAAUUUACUUUUGCGUGAAAAGGCGUGAAUAUACACAUUAGACGAGAAGACCCCGUCGAGCUUGAUAAAGUGCAGGGAGUAGGUUCUUGUUUGAAGUUUAGUUGGGGUGACUGGAUGCAAAAUUAACGUAUCUUUAUUGUUUAUGGUGGAGAUCCUUUAUUAAAGAUAAGAAGAAAAAGCUACCGCGGGGAUAACAGCGUUAUGUUUCUGGAGAGAUCUUAUUGAAGGAAAAAGUUGCGACCUCGAUGUUGAAUUAGGGUUUCAUCUCGGCGCAGCCGUUGGGAUUGUGGGACUGUUCGUCCUUUAAAACCUUACGUGAUCUGA